GUUAUUGAGUCUUAUCGAUUUUGGUUUUCUCUUCAUUGCAAAUAUAUUCAACACUUGCUUUCCCUUUCCUCUAAGAGUCGUUUAGCAUUUGAUUUCUACCAAGUAAUUGCAGAUUACCAGAGAGUUAAUUAAUAAAGCCACCUAUGGAUUCUAGGUGCCUCCACCAGGUAAAGGGUCAUUAUAUGUUAGGCCUCUGCUUCUAGGAAGCGGCCCUGGUCUGGGUAUUGGGCCAGCCCCUGAAUACGCAUUCCUCAUAUUUGCCUCUCCCAUUGGCAAUUGGUACAAGGUGAGCAGAGGGCUCCCUGGUGGAACAGGAGGGAUUAAAAGCAUCACCAACUAUUCACCUGUUUUUGAAGCAGUAAGCAAGGCUAAGGCCAAGGGGUUCACUGAUGUCCUAUUUCUGGAGGCAGCCACUGGGAAAAAUGUUGAGGAGGUUU